AGCGAACGCUGGCGGCAGGCCUAACACAUGCAAGUCGAGCGCCCCGCAAGGGGAGCGGCAGACGGGAGAGUAACACGUGGGAACGUACCCUUCAGUUCGGAACAACCCAGGGAAACUUGGGCUAAUACCGGAUACGUCCGUAAGGAGAAAGAUUUAUCGCUGAAGGAUCGGCCCGCGUCUGAUUAGCUAGUUGGUGAGGUAACGGCUCACCAAGGCGACGAUCAGUAGCUGGUCUGAGAGGAUGAUCAGCCUCACUGGGACUGAGACACGGCCCAGACUCCUACGGGAGGCAGCAGUGGGGAAUAUUGGACAAUGGGCGCAAGCCUGAUCCAGCCAUGCCGCGUGGAUGAUGAAGGCCCUAGGGUUGUAAAGUCCUUUCGGCGGGGAAGAUAAUGACGGUACCCGCAGAAGAAGCCCCGGCUAACUUCGUGCCAGCAGCCGCGGUAAGAC
rnacentral:rRNA from 1 species